UACAGAGGUCUCAAGCGUUGUUCGGAUUCAUUGGGCGUAAAGGGUGCGUAGGCGGCGCGGUAAGUCGGGUGUGAAAUCUCGGAGCUUAACUCCGAAACUGCAUUCGAUACUGCCGUGCUUGAGGACUGGAGAGGAGACUGGAAUUUACGGUGUAGCGGUGAAAUGCGUAGAUAUCGUAAGGAAGACCAGUGGCGAAGGCGGGUCUCUGGGAC
rnacentral:rRNA from 1 species